UACGUAGGGUGCAAGCGUUGUCCGGAAUUAUUGGGCGUAAAGAGCUCGUAGGCGGUCUGUCGCGUCGGCUGUGAAAACCCGGAGCUCAACUCCGGGCCUGCAGUCGAUACGGGCAGACUGGAGUUCGGCAGGGGAGACUGGAAUUCCUGGUGUAGCGGUGAAAUGCGCAGAUAUCAGGAGGAACACCGGUGGCGAAGGCGGGGUCUCUGGGGACGGUACUGAGCUGGAGAACGCGAAAAAGCGUGGGGGAGCGAAACA
rnacentral:rRNA from 1 species